AACGAACGCUGGCGGCAUGCCUAACACAUGCAAGUCGAACGAGACCUUCGGGUCUAGUGGCGCACGGGUGCGUAACGCGUGGGAAUCUGCCCUUUGCUUCGGAAUAACAGUUAGAAAUGACUGCUAAUACCGGAUGAUGUCUUCGGACCAAAGAUUUAUCGGCAAAGGAUGAGCCCGCGUAGGAUUAGGUAGUUGGUGGGGUAAAGGCCUACCAAGCCGACGAUCCUUAGCUGGUCUGAGAGGAUGAUCAGCCACACUGGGACUGAGACACGGCCCAGACUCCUACGGGAGGCAGCAGUGGGGAAUAUUGGACAAUGGGCGCAAGCCUGAUCCAGCAAUGCCGCGUGAGUGAUGAAGGCCUUCGGGUCGUAAAGCUCUUUUACCAGGGAUGAUAAUGACAGUACCUGGAGAAUAAGCUCCGGCUAACUCCGUGCCAGCAGCCGCGGU
rnacentral:rRNA from 1 species